GAUGAACGCUGGCGGCGUGCCUAAUACAUGCAAGUCGAGCGAACAGACGAGGAGCUUGCUCCUCUGACGUUAGCGGCGGACGGGUGAGUAACACGUGGAUAACCUACCUAUAAGACUGGGAUAACUUCGGGAAACCGGAGCUAAUACCGGAUAACAUGUUGAACCGCAUGGUUCAACAGUGAAAGACGGUCUUGCUGUCACUUAUAGAUGGAUCCGCGCCGCAUUAGCUAGUUGGUAAGGUAACGGCUUACCAAGGCAACGUAGCGUAGCCGACCUGAGAGGGUGAUCGGCCACACUGGAACUGAGACACGGUCCAGACUCCUACGGGAGGCAGCAGUAGGGAAUCUUCCGCAAUGGGCGAAAGCCUGACGGAGCAACGCCGCGUGAGUGAAGAAGGUCUUCGGAUCGUAAAACUCUGUUAUUAGGGAAGAACAAAUGUGUAAGUAACUAUGCACGUCUUGACGGUACCUAAUCAGAAAGCCACGGCUAACUACGUG
rnacentral:rRNA from 1 species